rnacentral:rRNA from 1 species
UAAGGUGGAGGCGUGGCGUACGGCUCAGUAAAACAUGAUUAACCUGCCCUUAAGACGGAUACAAACUCGGGAAACUGAGGCUAAUAUCCGAUAGGUGAGAAUCGCUUGGAAUUAGCGUCUCGCCAAAAGGGCAUUAUAACCAUGCAAUUAAUGCAGCUUAAGGAUGGGAUCAUGCCCGAUCAGGCUGUUGGUGAGGUAAUGGCUCACCAAACCUAUAACCGGUACGGGCCGUGAGAGCGGGAGCCCGGAGAUGGUCCCUGAGACAAGGGUCCAGGCCCUACGGGGCGCAGCAGGCGCGAAAACUCCGCAAUGCGCGAAAGCGUGACGGGGUCACCCCGAGUGUCACCUGCAGAAGGGGACUUUUCCUCGGUGUAAUUAGCCGAGGGAAUAAGGGGAGGGCAAGCCUGGUGUCAGCCGCCGCGGUAAUACCAGCUCCCCGAGUGGUGAGGACGAUUAUUGGGCCUAAAGCAUCCGUAACCGGUCUAGUAAGUUUCCCGUUAAAUCUGGCGAUCCAAUCGUCAGACUGCGGGAAAUACUGUUAGGCUAGGAGGCGGAAGAGGCCGACGGUACUCUUAGGGUAGGGGUGAAAUCCUAUAAUCCUGAGAGGACCACCAGUGGCGAAGGCGGUCGGCCAGAACGCGCUCGACGGUGAGGGAUGAAAGCUGGGGGAGCGAACCGGAUUAGAUACCCGGGUAGU